rnacentral:rRNA from 1 species
UUGCACGCUGGCGGCAUGCCUUACACAUGCAAGUCGAACGGCAGCACGGGUGCUUGCACCUGGUGGCGAGUGGCGAACGGGUGAGUAAUACAUCGGAACAUGUCCUGUAGUGGGGGAUAGCCCGGCGAAAGCCGGAUUAAUACCGCAUACGAUCUACGGAUGAAAGCGGGGGACCUUCGGGCCUCGCGCUAUAGGGUUGGCCGAUAGCUGAUUAGCUAGUUGGUGGGGUAAAGGCCUACCAAGGCGACGAUCAGUAGCUGGUCUGAGAGGACGACCAGCCACACUGGGACUGAGACACGGCCCAGACUCCUACGGGAGGCAGCAGUGGGGAAUUUUGGACAAUGGGCGAAAGCCUGAUCCAGCAAUGCCGCGUGUGUGAAGAAGGCCUUCGGGUUGUAAAGCACUUUUGUCCGGAAAGAAAUCCUUGGCUCUAAUACAGUCGGGGGAUGACGGUACCGGAAGAAUAAGCACCGGCUAACUACGUG